rnacentral:ncRNA from 1 species
GGAAAUUUUGUUAAUUAUUUAAUAUAUUUUAUUUUAGUAAAUUAAUUUUUUAUUUCUUUUAUUUACAUGUUAAUUUUUGUGAAAUAGCGUUUUUAAUAACUUUUUAGGCAGUAAUUGUAAUUGUUUUUUAAUGAAAAUUAGAUGUAUAAAUUGAUUCUAGACUCGACUAAUUUUGUGCCAGCAGUUGCGGUUAUACGAUUGAGUCAAAAGAAUUUUUAAAAUAAAUUAAUUAUUUAUUUAGUUAAAAAAAUUAAAAUUAAGGUUUUGAAGGUAAAAUUUAAUUUUUGGAAUUGAGAUUUUUGUUAAUAAUUAAGAAAUUGAUAAGUAAACCAGGAUUAGAUACCCUGUUAUUAAAAUGUAAAUUUAUUGGAGUAGUAAAAGUUAAUAUCUUGAAACUCAAAAGAUUUGGCGGUAUUUUAUCUUAUUAGAGGAACCUGUUUAUUAAUUGAUAUUCCACAACUUAAAUUUACUUUUACUAGUUUAUUUGUAUACCGCUGUCAUGAAUCUAUUAAUAAGUUUAUUUUCGAGAUUUUUUAUGUAAAUUAUGUUAGGUCAAGGUGCAGUAUGUAAAUGAUUAAAAUGGGUUACAUUAUUUAUUAUGAAUGAAUUAUUUAUGUUAAAGAAAAUAUGAAAUGGGAUUUAUAAGUAAAAUAAUUACUAGAGAUUUUAUAUGAAUAGAGAUCCUAAAAUAUGUACACAUUGCCCGUCGCUCUUGUUUAAAAUAAGAUAAGUCGUAACAUAGUAGAUGUACUGGAAAGUGUCUCUGGAAUUAGA